AGCGUAUACGGUGGAUGCCUAGGCGGUAGAAGGCGAUGAAGGACGUAGUAACUUGCGAUAAGCCACGGGGAGCUAGUAAACGAGCAUUGAUCCGUGGAUUUCCGAAUGGGAAAACCCAGCCUAUUUUUAUAGGCUAUCCCCCACUGUUAAGGUGUGGGGAGGCAAACCCGGGGAACUGAAACAUCUAAGUACCCGGAGGAAAAGAAAUCAACCGAGAUUCCCUAAGUAGCGGCGAGCGAACGGGGACCAGCCCUAAACGGCAUAUUAAAGUAACAGAAGUGGGUGGAAAACCACACGGCACAAGGUGAUAGUCCUGUAUGUGAAACUUUAUUAUGUCUUAUCCGAGUAGGACGGAACACGUGAAAUUCUGUUUGAAGAUGGGGGGACCACCCUCCAAGGCUAAAUACUCUCUACCGACCGAUAGUGAACCAGUACCGUGAGGGAAAGGCGAAAAGAACCCCUGAAGGGGAGUGAAAUAGAACCUGAAACCGUAUACGUACAAGCAGUAGGAGCAUACUUGUUAUGUGACUGCGUACCUUUUGUAUAAUGGGUCAGCGACUUACGUUAUGUUGCGAGGUUAACCAAAUAGGGGAGCCGUAGGGAAACCGAGUCUUAAAUGGGCGACUAGUAGCAUGGCGUAGACCCGAAACCGGGCGAUCUAUCCAUGGCCAGGUUGAAGGUUGGGUAACACCAACUGGAGGACCGAACCCACGUAUGUUGAAAAAUGCAGGGAUGAGCUGUGGAUCGGAGUGAAAGGCUAAUCAAGCCCGGAGAUAGCUGGUUCUCCUCGAAAUCUAUUUAGGUAGAGCCUCAUGUAUCACUGUCGGGGGUAGAGCACUGUUAUGGUCUAGCGGUCCGUCAAGGAUUAGCAGCCCAUUGCAAACUCCGAAUACCGACAAGUGCAAUCAUGGGAGACAGACAGCGGGUGCUAACGUCCGUUGUCAAGAGGGAAACAACCCAGACCGCCAGCUAAGGUCCCUAAACACUAUUAAGUGGGAAAGGAUGUGGGAAGGCUUAGACAGUCAGGAGGUUGGCUUAGAAGCAGCCAUCCUUUAAAGAAAGCGUAAUAGCUCACUGAUCGAGUCGGCCUGCGCCGAAGAUUUAACGGGGCUAAAUAGUGUACCGAAGCUGCGGAUGCCGUAAGGCAUGGUAGAGGAGCGUCGUGUAAGUCUGUGAAGGGGGAUUGUAAAGUGUCCUGGAGAUAUCACGAGUGCGAAUGCUGACAUGAGUAGCGAUAAAGGGAGUGAAAAGCUCCCUCGCCGGAAGACCAAGGGUUCCUACGCAACGUUAAUCGACGUAGGGUUAGUCGACCCCUAAGGCGAGGCCGAGAGGCGUAGUCGAUGGGAAAUAGGUUAAUAUUCCUAUACUUUUUAUUACUGCGAUGGAGGGACGGAGAAGGCUAGGUUAGCUUACAGUUGGAUAUGUAAGUUUAAGCACGUAGGCAGAAAUCUUAGGAAAAUCCGGGAAUUCAUUAAUGCUGAAAUGUAAUGACGAGCUCUGUAUUGAGCGAAGUAAUUGAUGCCAUGCUUCCAAGAAAAUCUUCUAAGCUUCAGGUAAUAAGAAAUCGUACCCCAAACCAACACAGGUGGUCAGGAUGAGAAUUCUAAGGCGCUUGAGAGAACUCGGGUGAAGGAACUAGGCAAAAUGAUACCGUAACUUCGGGAGAAGGUAUGCCCUCAGCAAUGAGGGCCUCAGAAACUAGGUGGCUGCGACUGUUUACUAAAAACAUAGCACUGUGCAAAAUCGAAAGAUGACGUAUACGGUGUGACGCCUGCCCGGUGCCGGAAGGUUAAUUGAUGGGGUUAGCUUAUGCGAAGCUCUUGAUCGAAGCCCCGGUAAACGGCGGCCGUAACUAUAACGGUCCUAAGGUAGCGAAAUUCCUUGUCGGGUAAGUUCCGACCUGCACGAAUGGCGUAACGAUGGCCACACUGUCUCCACCCGAGACUCAGCGAAAUUGAAAUCGCAGUUAAGAUGCUGCGUACCCGCGGCUAGACGGAAAGACCCCGUGAACCUUUACUAUAGCUUUGCACUGGACUUUGAUACUAUCUGUGUAGGAUAGGUGGGAGGCAUUGAAACUUUAUCGCUAGAUAGAGUGGAGCCGAUCUUGAAAUACCACCCUGAUAUUAUUGAGGUUCUAACCUAGGUUGCUGAAUCGUGGCCAGGGACAGUGUAUGGUGGGUAGUUUGACUGGGGCGGUCUCCUCCUAAAGAGUAACGGAGGAGCGCGAAGGUACCCUCAGCACGGUCGGACAUCGUGCAAUGAGCGCAAGAGUAAAAGGGUGCUUGACUGCGAGACUGACACGUCGAGCAGGUGCGAAAGCAGGUUCUAGUGAUCCGGUGGUUCUGUGUGGAAGGGCCAUCGCUCAACGGAUAAAAGGUACUCCGGGGAUAACAGGCUGAUACCGCCCAAGAGUUCAUAUCGACGGCGGUGUUUGGCACCUCGAUGUCGGCUCAUCACAUCCUGGGGCUGAAGUCGGUCCCAAGGGUAUGGCUGUUCGCCAUUUAAAGUGGUACGCGAGCUGGGUUUAGAACGUCGUGAGACAGUUCGGUCCCUAUCUGCCGUGGGCGUUGGAGAUUUGAGGGGGGCUGCUCCUAGUACGAGAGGACCGGAGUGGACGAACCUCUGGUGUUCCUGUUGUCUCGCCAGAGGCAUUGCAGGGUAGCUAAGUUCGGAAAGGAUAACCGCUGAAAGCAUCUAAGCGGGAAACCUGCCCCAAGAUAAGAUCUCCCUAAACUAUAAGUUUU
rnacentral:rRNA from 1 species